rnacentral:rRNA from 1 species
GACGUAGGGCGCGAGCGUUGUCCGGAUUUAUUGGGCGUAAAGAGCUCGUAGGCGGCUUGUCGCGUCGUCCGUGAAAACUUGGGGCUCAACCCCAAGCUUGCGGUCGAUACGGGCAGGCUCGAGUUCGGUAGGGGAGACUGGAAUUCCUGGUGUAGCGGUGAAAUGCGCAGAUAUCAGGAGGAACACCUGCGGCGAAGGCGGGUUGCUGGGCUGACACUGACGCUGAUGCGCGAAAGCUAGGGGAGCGAACGGG